GGCUGGGGGGGAGUCGAAAGCAGGGAGGCAAAAAGGAAUUCCUGGUGUAGCGGUGAAAUGCGCAGAUAUCAGGAGGAACACCGAUGGCGAAGGCAGGUCUCUGGGCUGUAACUGACGCUGAGGAGCGAAAGCAUGGGGAGCGAACAGGAUUAGAUACCCUGGUAGUCCAUGCCGUAAACGUUGGGCACUAGGUGUGGGGGACAUUCCACGUUUUCCGCGCCGUAGCUAACGCAUUAAGUGCCCCGCCUGGGGAGUACGGCCGCAAGGCUAAAACUCAAAGGAAUUGACGGGGGCCCGCACAAGCGGCGGAGCAUGCGGAUUAAUUCGAUGCAACGCGAAGAACCUUACCAAGGCUUGACAUGAACCGGAAAGACCUGGAAACAGGUGCCCCGCUUGCGGUCGGUUUACAGGUGGUGCAUGGUUGUCGUCAGCUCGUGUCGUGAGAUGUUGGGUUAAGUCCCGCAACGAGCGCAACCCUCGUUCUAUGUUGCCAGCGCGUGAUGGCGGGGACUCAUAGGAGACUGCCGGGGUCAACUCGGAGGAAGGUGGGGACGACGUCAAAUCAUCAUGCCCCUUAUGUCUUGGGCUUCACGCAUGCUACAAUGGCCGGUACAAAGGGUUGCGAUACUGUGAGGUGGAGCUAAUCCCAAAAAGCCGGUCUCAGUUCGGAUUGGGGUCUGCAACUCGACCCCAUGAAGUCGGAGUCGCUAGUAAUCGCAGAUCAGCAACGCUGCGGUGAAUACGUUCCCGGGCCUUGUACACACCGCCCGUCAAGUCACGAAAGUGGUAACACCCGAAGCCGGUGGCCUAACCCUUGUGGGGGAGCCGUCGAAGGUGGGACCGGCGAUUGGGACGAAGUCU
rnacentral:rRNA from 1 species